UUGGACACUGGUAAAGAUUCUCAAUCUGGGGUCAGGAUUAACAUGAACAACAUAAACACGAGGACCAAGCAGUUUGGAUUGCUUAAGCAAAUCCAUUAUCNUCACUUUCAUCAAAAUUGACAGACAACUUCAUUUUAUAUAUUUUUGCCAUUUUCUUUUCAAGUUGAUCAUCCAAAGCAGCUACCCCAUUCCUCCCAGCAUCAUCAUCCACAUAUAUUGCAAUGACCUGUUUCCAACAACCAUAAAAAUCAAUCAAAUCAGCCAUGGCAGCCAUCUGAUUCGAGUCACUUUGUGUGGUUCUCAGAAAAAAGGGGAACUGAAGGGCAGAUAGAGUGGGAUCAGUAGCAGCAUAUGAAACAAGGGGCACUUGGAGACCAUUUGCAAUUUCAGAAAUCAUAUGAGCUAUUCCAGAGGAUUGCGGACCAAUUAUGGCCACUACUUGUUUCUCAAGUAUCUGAAAAGCUCCAAUAGAACCCAAGAAGACAUUACACUUAGCAUCUUGCGUAAACAGCCUCAGCUCUGUCCCAUUGAGAAUUCUUGUAUCCCUAUUAAUAUCAGACACUG
rnacentral:misc_RNA from 1 species